CCAAAGAUGGUGGGCCUCCGUGCCCCCGUCCCUAACCCAUUGUUGACCAAAACCCUUUUGCCUCGGGGGCGGAGCGUCCGCCGCCGCCCCCGGAGGACCACUUAACGCUGUCUCUUUGCGUCGGAGUAAUUGAUUAAAUGAAUGA
rnacentral:misc_RNA from 1 species